UCCACGCCCUAAACGAUGAACACUAGUCGUCGGAAUGCUAGCCAUUUCGGUGAUGCACUUAACAGAUUAAGUGUUCCGCCUGGGGAGUACGGUCGCAAGAUUAAAACUCUAAGGAGACUGCCUUCGUAAGGAGGAGGAAGGUGAGGACGACGUCAAGUCAUCAUGGCCCUUAUGGCUAGGGCUACACACGUGCUACAAUGGGGCGUACAGAGAGUUGCGAUACCGCGAGGUGG
rnacentral:rRNA from 1 species